rnacentral:lncRNA from 1 species
ACAUCUCCGUGUUUACGGUUUAGAGAGAGAAGAAAGACAAAGGAAAAGGCUCAUAGCCACAAGGGUUUAUAGAGAGAGAACAAGGAAGUAGGAAAAGUUCAUCGGCUUUGGUUUAUAGAGAGAGAAGAAGGAAGAGUCCAUCGGCUUCACAAACCCUAAUGGAAGAGGCCCUAACUGAUUUUUAGAGAGCGAAAAGGAAAGGAAGAUGGGAUGUUGAUUUGGGAUAGUUUGAAGAGGAUCUUUCUCUCUUAUUUGAGUUGUCUCUCUUUGAGAGAAAGCCCUAAUUAUACUGAGUUCUUGUUUGAGAGAAAGCCCUAAUUAUACUGAGUUAUUGUUUGAGAAAAAGCCCUAGUUAUACUGAUUUGUGAAGAGGCCCUAACUGAUUUUUGGAUUUGUGAAGAGGCCCUGAUUUUUAUAGAGAGAAAAGGAAGAGGGUUUUUCAUUUUGUUGGGGAAACAACAAGUUUGGGGGAUUGCUUGCUCCUAUAAGUUUACAGUUUACACUAUAUUGUUUAUUUUUGUUAUCGCAUAACCUGUACUCACAUUCGGUUUCUCAUUCAUUAGUAAAAGACUUAGUUUUGAGCUUUAAUUUGUGCCAUA